GGAUGUAGCUCAAUGGUAGAGUAUUUGCCUGUCAUGCAUGACGCCUUGGGUUUAAUCCCCAGCACCA
rnacentral:tRNA from 1 species